UGCCCCAGUAGCGGCGAGUGAAGCGGCAAAAGCUCAGAUUUGGAAUCGCUUCGGCGAGUUGUGAAUUGCAGGUUGGCGCCUCUGCGGCGGCGGCGGUCCAAGUCCCUUGGAACAGGGCGCCAUUGAGGGUGAGAGCCCCGUGGGACCGUUUGCCUAUGCUCUGAGGCCCUUCUGACGAGUCGAGUUGUUUGGGAAUGCAGCUCUAAGCGGGUGGUAAAUUCCAUCUAAGGCUAAAUACUGGCGAGAGACCGAUAGCGAACAAGUACUGUGAAGGAAAGAUGAAAAGCACUUUGAAAAGAGAGUGAAACAGCACGUGAAAUUGUUGAAAGGGAAGGGUAUUGCGCCCGACAUGGAGCGUGCGCACCGCUGCCCCUCGUGGGCGGCGCUCUGGGCGUGCUCUGGGCCAGCAUCAGUUU
rnacentral:rRNA from 1 species